UUCCUUGUUGUUUUUCUGCUGUUUCUGUCUUGAUUUCCUGCUCCUUCUGCAUUGCAAUGCAUUGUUUUUUUUCCAGUUUUGUUGAUUUUCUUCUCCCUUCUGUUUCUGUUCUUUGAAGGCCUUUUUCCUUUCCUAAGCACAUUCCCUUCUGUUUGCGAGGUUUUCAGGUGAUUUUGCUUUGCUUUCCUUGGCUUUUUAGUACUUUCUUUUUCCUGGUUUUGCUUGGCUUUGGUUUGCUCUUUGGUUUUGCGUUAAUAUCUUGGCCCUGUAUUGCUUUUAAAUUCUUGUUCUUUCUUUCCAUUGCUAUGCAUUGGUGAGCUUUUUUAUCCGUUUCCUUUGCUUGGAUUCUUUGCUUUGCCCUGAUCGUCUAUUGAAUUCACUGGCUUUCCUCUUGUACCUCUCGACCUUGUUUUGCUUUGCUUUGUUUUCCUUCUUUGUUUUGUUUUGCCUCUUUGGUUUUCCUGCAGCGAGCCUUUCUGCUUUGCUUUCCAUUGUCUUUGUUUCCUAUUUGUUGGUUGGUUUUCUUUCCUGCUCCUUUCUUUGCAUGAUCUUGUUCCUUGCUAGAAGCAUUCUUUCACAUUUCAGAUCAUGUUUCUUGGCUGUGCUUUGCAUCCAAUCUCUGCACCGCAACUCUAUGUCAGACUUUAUUUUGGGAUGGAGGAAUGUACAUAGGUCAUAGUCUUGUACAAGAAAAGCUAUUGCGCUGUGCCCAGGAGGUGAUGAAAAAGAGCCCUGAGGAGCCAGGAGCACAAAGGUAGCGUGUUUGUGCGAAGGCCGCAGCGUAAGCACAUGUGAACCUUGAAGGGCUGCUUUGUGCCUCUCCAGGAACUGCUUUUGGGUGGGGGAUUUUCUGGAGUUGUUUCCAGUUGUUGCUCGGAGGAGCUGAGGCUUUUCUCCUUGUAUCUUUGCAGGAAAGCAGAGCGCAGGGAGCGUCUGUGGUGAGAUGCUCAGGUGAAAUUGCCUUCCCUGCACCAGCAGCCCGUUUGUGUCCACGUUGUGUCUCCAUGGUGAGGAGAAGCCUGCAGUUCUUGUGACAUACCUGGCCCGUCAGAUAAUUCAGCAGGGAGUGGUGCCUUCUUGCAAAGCUGUGGCAGUGACCACGGCCAGCCCCUGAAGCCCCAGUCAUCAAGACCCCGUACAUCAUGUCCAACGCCAUCUGUCUGCACUGCCCAUGGCUGUGAUGUGUGCCGCUACCUCCUGUCCCCCCCAACUGCCAGGCAUGCAAGCUUCCUCCUGCUCCACCAGCUCUCCACUGGCUCCGACACCUUUGCCACCUCCCGUGUCGUGUGGUGGAAAUGCGUGGUGCUGGGGCAGGCCCAAACUCCCACCCUGACAGCAGGCACAUUUCCAAAAGCUCUGCUCACUUCCUCAUCCUGCUGGCUCGUGAGAAGAUCCUGUUGUCAGCUCUGCCAACCAGCACAGCAGAGGUGGGAUAGUUACGGGCAGCAUGGAAAACAGCAGGGGAAUAACCGUUUCCCCCUUUGGCUGUUAUUUGUUGAGAAAUGCCGUCUGGGAAGUGUAGAGUCAGGGCCUGAACCACUGAUGGAGCAUCUGGGGAAAGGAUCCAGCCAGCCCUGGGAGCACAGGUGAGGGCAGUUCAGUUGUAUGAUGGAAUGAGGGGAGCCUGGCUGCACCUCUCCUAGACCUCAUUGAAGGGCUGACUCUGCGUGGGCAAGGAUCUCUGGUUGGAGAUCCCUCCCUUGUGGAGUUUUCCCUGUGAGCCUGGAUCUUCAGAGACAGGUGAGCGCUUUCCUUUGUCUUUGUAACACCUUUCUGUUGUGCUAGUCCCUUUGUGGUUACACCUCCUUCCACUGCACUGAUCGUUCUGAUUGUUACAGAUGUCCUCUGCCCCUUCCCACCUGUAAAGCAAACUUGCUUGUACAGCAAGCCACCUGUAGAGGCGAUGACAGAGCCUUUAUUUGAGAUAGAGGAGCUAUAGAACAGGAUAUCAAAGAAAGAGGAAUCGACUCAUCCCUCCCAGCAACAGUUUUGAAGAAAGUGGUGAGCUGAGGAAUGCAGCCUUCUGUGUUUGAACUAUGGUGUGCUGAAAGGUGAGAGGGGGCUGAGGGGCUGGGGGGGAGACCUGUGCAGACUGACUGUACGUGUGCUGCUGGGAGCACUGCUGAGAUGGAGAGAGAGGAAGGCUCCCCCGCUCGAGGUACUCAUGUGCUCACGCAGUGGUUCAGGCUGUGACCUGGCAGUUCCACUGCACCACCCAUCCUGCACUGUCCAUGUGCCACCUGCAGGUGUUGCCCAGCUUUUGGGGGACUCGCUGUGACCUCCCUGUCUCACCUCUGUCUCACCUAGUCUAACCCUUAGAGCAGCAUAGAGUGACCCAUGCUACCUGGGGAUAAGUCUUUUUUUCUGCUUUCUAUCCCAAGUCCUUUCCUUUCCAUGGAAACAGUAGAAGUGUUCCUUCAGAGCUGAUUUACCCCUGCUGUGUUUCUUUUCACUUUUUGUGGAUGAGCAAGUGCCCCUUUAGGGAUGAGCAUCUCUUUGCUCCUUCCAUUCUACAGCUUAUUGCAGGGUGCCCAGGACACCCCACAGUUGUGGGGAGCAGCUGGCACAAGAGAAGUAAGUCCAAAGGCUGCAGCAAAGAUUUUGGGUCAUUUGCAGUGGCUCAGUGGGAGCUUGCAGAGGCAAAAAGCAGCUGGAGAUGUGCUCUGCAGUUCUGUGCUGGUUUGCAGAUUCCUCAGGAGUGGUCCUGGGUCACCUGGCUUCCACCAAGAGCGCUCCUCUUCUCUCCACAGAUCACAUCUCAGGUGCUGUCUGUCUGUCUGUGGUAGGUACCAGAGCAAGGAGGCCUCUCUGUGCCAUUGUUGCAGUGAUUUCAGUCUGUGGCACCCACAUUUGGACGCAUGGAUGCUCCAUCUGGAUGUUAAUUUUCAGGGGGAUCAAAGCUUUUUGGAAUAUGGGCUUCUCUUUCCAUAUUAUAUGCAUUUUGUGCAGUUGAGUCUUGCAGUAUCUUUAUAAUUCACUCUUCUGCCAUAAGGUGGGAUGGUGUAAUGUCCUGUUCUUCAGACGAACCGAGAGUGCUGCCCAUAUGGUGAAUGAGACAAGGGAUUCACUGCUUCUGACUGAUAAGAAUCCUGGGCAACAGUUAGUAGGCCAGUAUUUUCUGAGAUAGAAUUUAUUAUCAUGCAUUUGGUAAUGUUUCUGUUAACACCAGAACACUCUGGGGUGUGUUUUCAAACCAGGGUUUCCCGUCCUGCUAACAAACAGUGGGGUUUGUGCACGUACCUCCAUGGGCUCACGUGGAAACAGACGUCAAGCAUCAGAAGAUUCCUGGGUGCAUGUUUAAGGCUUACUGCGUU